CUGGGGGACUGUCUGGGGCG
rnacentral:miRNA from 1 species